rnacentral:misc_RNA from 1 species
UCUCCGUGGGUGAACCUGCGGAGGGAUCAUUACAGAGUUCUCGCCCUCGCGGGUAGAUCUCCCACCCACUGUUAUCGUUACUGUGUUGCUUUGGCGGGCCGCCGGGCCCCGCUCGGCCGCCGGCUCCGGCUGGCGCGCGCCCGCCAGAGGCCCAGCAAACUCUGAAUGUUAGUGUCGUCUGAGUACUAUAUAAUAGUUAAAACUUUCAACAACGGAUCUCUUGGUUCUG